rnacentral:rRNA from 1 species
AUUGAACGCUGGCGGCAUGCUUUACACAUGCAAGUCGAACGGCAGCGCGGGCUUCGGCCUGGCGGCGAGUGGCGAACGGGUGAGUAAUACAUCGGAACGUGCCCAGUAGUGGGGGAUAGCUCGGCGAAAGCCGGAUUAAUACCGCAUACGACCUGAGGGUGAAAGCGGGGGAUCUUCGGACCUCGCGCUAUUGGAGCGGCCGAUGGCAGAUUAGCUAGUUGGUGGGGUAAAGGCCUACCAAGGCGACGAUCUGUAGCUGGUCUGAGAGGACGACCAGCCACCCUGGACUGAGACACGGCCCAGACUCCUACGGGAGGCAGCAGUGGGGAAUUUUGGACAAUGGGCGAAAGCCUGAUCCAGCAAUGCCGCGUGUGUGAUGAAGGCCUUCGGGUUGUAAAGCACUUUUGGCGGGAACGAAAAGGACUGUGCCAAUACCACGGUUCGAUGACGGUACCCGCAGAAUAAGCACCGGCUAACUACGUG